rnacentral:rRNA from 1 species
AUUGAACGCUGGCGGCAGGCCUAACACAUGCAAGUCGAGCGGAUGAAGGGAGCUUGCUCCUGGAUUCAGCGGCGGACGGGUGAGUAAUGCCUAGGAAUCUGCCUGGUAGUGGGGGAUAACGUCCGGAAACGGGCGCUAAUACCGCAUACGUCCUGAGGGAGAAAGUGGGGGAUCUUCGGACCUCGCGCUAUCAGAUGAGCCUAGGUCGGAGUAGCUAGUUGGUGGGGUAAAGGCCUACCAAGGCGACGAUCCGUAACUGGUCUGAGAGGAUGAUCAGGCACACUGGAACUGAGACACGGUCCAGACUCCUACGGGAGGCAGCAGUGGGGAAUAUUAGACAAUGGGCGAAAGCCUGAUCCAGCCAUGCCGCGUGUGUGAAGAAGGUCUUCGGAUUGUAAAGCACUUUAAGUUGGGAGGAAGGGCAGUAAGUUAAUACCUUGCUGUUUUGACGUUACCAACAGAAUAAGCACCGGCUAACUUCGUG